GACCAGAUAGCUCAGUUGGUAGAGCACCUGACUGCAGUUUCAGGGGGCCCAGGUUCAAAUCCCAGUCUGGUCC